UCCUUUAUGUAUGUGACAGGCUAUGACACAAUUAGAUGCACUUAAAUUAAAAGCACUUUAGUGUAACAAAAAACCAGGACCGACGAGAACGCCAAGUAUUGAACUGGUAUUCAGAUUGCACCAAAAAGGUAUAUCUCUGUGGAGAGGAUGAUGACAUUUCAGAAGGUUGUUUCUGUGAAGCAUGUUAACUAACUAUUUAUGGUUAUAUCCAAUUGUAUAGUUAUAUUACAAUCUAUGAAUAACUCAUUGUAAUUAAUAUUUCCAUACUCUAUCUGUAAAAAAAGUUAAUCAUAAUAUGUAAAAUAAAGUAAUUUGCACGAAUUUGCCAACAUUUGAAACCUA
rnacentral:lncRNA from 1 species